GGGCUGACCGCUGGGGCGGAGCCGGGCUUUGCAAGCCUGACGUGCCGGGUUCGAUUCCCGGUCGGUCCA
rnacentral:tRNA from 1 species